UAUUCUUUUAUUUUCUGGUUUUCUUUUCUCGAUAUACAUGUAUAUAUAUACAGUGUCCUUGUACAGAUGAGGUUAAUUCAAUGCACAGAAAAUUCUCUCCAAGAUACUCUCAUUUUCUUUAUGGUAUCAGAGCAGUAGCGCGUCUUCCUCAUUCCUUUUAGAUUAUCUGAUCUUCCUUUUCAGCCAUGGCUCCUGCUUCAGAUGCAACUGAAACUCCACAAACACACUUUUUCUUCUUCAACAGCAGCAAGCAAUGGAAACUCCAUUGAUCCUUCUCAUACCUUCUUCCUUCAUGCUUCUAAUGCACCAGGUAUGAUACUGGUGAACACUCCAUUUGAUGGUCAUGGUUAUGCUGGUUAGAGCAAAUCCAUCCUCAUCUCACUGUCAUCCAAAAACAAAUUAGGCUUCAUUGAUGGAUCAUGCCCUAAGCCACCUCUCACAGAUCCUACUUACUCAAUCUGGAGUCGAUGCAAUGACAUAGUAACCUCUUGGUUAUUGAACUCACUCACCAAGGUCAUUGUUGAUAGUGUUCUCUACUCAAAAACUUCCAAGGACCUUUGGUCAGAUCUGGAGCACAGGUUUGGGCAGACUAAUGGUGCCAAGCUCUACCACCUGCAAAAUGAACUUGCAGAUUUAGUACAAGGGACUGCUGACAUUGCUACUUACUUCACUAGAAUGAAACGUUUAUGGGAUGAAUUAGACACUCUUAAUUCUGAUAUGCAGUGUUCAUGUAAUUGUGACUGUGGAGGUAAGAAGAAAAUGCAGAAAUUUAAGGAAGAUGAGAGGCUAAUCCAAUUCCUCAUGGGUUUAAAUGGCAUCUAUGGACUGGCUAGAAGCAAUAUACUCAUGGUCAACCCCUGCCUUUAGUUAAUCAAGCAUACUCUCUUCUCAUGCAAGAUGAGAAUCAAAGGGAAAUUCAUGUUAACCCUCAAUUCCCAAUAGAUGGAACCUCUUUUAUGGUGAAGAAUCAAGGAUAUCAGGGUUACCAAAACUCUGCAACACCACCACAAAGGAAUGGGAAUGUUGCAUACAAAGGAAAUUUUGCACAAAAAGGGAAGAAGAAUUCGCAUAUGUGCUCCUACUAUAAAAUGACUAAUCACACAAAUGAAAACUGUUACAGACUUGUGGGAUUCCCUGCUGAUUUCAAGUUUACUAAGAACAAAAGACCGCAAAGUUCCCAAAAGGAAAUUCAGCCACUGUGGUAGAGGAUGCAAAAGAAAUUCAUAGUAACAUGGUGCAGGGACCUCAAUUUGCUCAAAAACUCUCAUCUGAUCAAUUCAGCCAGUUGGUUAACCUUCUGAAUCAACUACAAACAGGACAUGCAACUUCUCAGGAAGUCAACGCAAAUUCAGUUUCUGGUAUUUUGUUCACCAAUUCUCCUUCCUGUUAUUCAGUUUCUAAUUCUAAUCUUUCUCAUUCCUAGAUUAUAGAUUCAGGGGCAAGUGAACAUAUGUGUUUUAAUACCAACACAUUCUUAUUCCUAAUAUCACUGCCUUAUCCUCUUAUGGUAAAGUUACCAGAUUCUUAUAGGGUAAAGGUUACUCAUGCUGGUAGUGUAUCUAUUUUCCCAGGCCUAGUUCUGGAAAUGUCUUAUAUAUUCCUAGUUUCAAAUACAACUUACUCUCAGUUUGUAGACUCUGUCAAAGGUUCAAAUAUCUUUUGAUUUUCACUCCUAUUGGUUGUAUUUUGCAGGGCCCUCUCAUGAAGAGCCCUCAAGUUUUUGGUAAAGCUAAGGAGGGACUUUACUUAGUCAAGUCUAAUGUCACAAAGCCUAGGAACCUGUUUUCUAGUUCAGCUAAUAGAUUGUUACAUGUCUCUUUUUCUAAUGCUCUUUCGGUUUCUUUUCUUAUUUCAGCAACAUCAGAAUCUGCUGUAAAACUUUGGCAUGUAAGAUUGGGGCAUUUUCCUUUCAAUUUAAUGAAAUAUAUCAGUUCCAUUUCAUUUGUUUCUAUUCUAGUUGUCAUUGUGAAGUUUAUCCUUUAGCUAGGCAGUCUAGAUUACCAUUUCCAAUUAGUCAUAUUAAAACAAAGCACCCAUUUGACUUAAUACAUAUUGACACAUCGGGUCUUUAUAGAACCCCUACUCACAAUGGAUACAAGUACUUUCUCACUAUUGUGGAUGAUUUUAGUAGAGCUACUUGGACUUAUUUACUUAGCACCAAGGGUAGUGCAUUUUUGGUUCUUAAAUAUUUUUUGAGCAUGGUGGAAAGGCAAUUCAAUUCUAAGGUCAAGGUUAUCAGGUCAGAUAAUGCUUUGGAAUUGGGUAGCAGUACUGCAGCUUCAUUAUUUUUCUUGUCACAAGGUAUUUUACAUCAGACUUCUUGUGUGGGAACUCCUCAACAAAAUGGAAUUGUGGAGAGGAAACAUAAACAUUUGUUAGAAGUAGCUAGGGCUCUACUUUUUCAAUCUAAAGUGCCUCUUUGCUAUUGGUGAGAAUGCAUCCUAUCAGCUACAUUUCUCAUCAACAGAUUUCCCUUUAGAGUUCUAAAAGGACAUACUCCCUAUCAUCUACUAUUUGGGAAAGAACCCUCUUAUGCUUUCUUAAAAAGUUUUGGUUGUCUUUGUUAUGCUUCUACCUUAUCCCAUCACAGAGAAAAGUUUGAUCCUAGGGCUAUAGCAUGUGUAUUUAUGGGCUAUCCUGCUGGUCAAAAGGGAUAUAAGCUAUUGAAUCUCACCACCAAGAAAUUGUUUGUUUCCAGGGAUGUUCAUUUCAUUGAAAACAUCUUUCCUUUAUCUCAUAUGCAUCAACCUGAAACCUAUCCAUGCCCUAAUCAUACCUUUCCUAUAUCUCCUUUCACCUCAGAUUCUUACCACCAACCUACUUCCACUAUACCACAAAAUUGCCUUUCCACUGAUAUUUCCCUUUGGUUGUUCUUCUUCUUCCCCAAAUACCUCUCCUGUUCCUACUCCUACAACAUCACCUCUGCCUCCUCCUCCUCUUCCACUUAGAAGGUCUAAUAGGGACAACUUAGGUACUCUGCCUAGUUAUCUUAAAUAUUAUGUUUGCAGCAACAUCUACCUUAGUGAUGUCACCACUUCCUGCCUCACCUCUACUUGUUCCCCUUCUUCCUUGGCUUUCUCUGCCCUUUAUAGCUCUAAUCAACACCUCAUUGAAUCAGUUUCCUCUUUUACAGAACCUACCUCUUAUUCCCAUUCCUGCACUCACCCAGGUUGGAUCCAAGCUAUGAAUUUAGAACUCAAAGCUCUGGAAGAAAACCUGACAUGGGAUGUGGUACUUCUACCUACUGGGAAAAAGGCUUUACCCUGUAAAAGGGUCUAUAAGGUCAAACACAAUGCUGAUGGCUCUAUUGAAAGAUUGAAAGCAAGAUUGGUUAUAAGGGGUGAUGUUUAGAGAGAAGGUAUUGAUUACACAGAAACCUUCUCUCCAGUUGUUAAGAUGACCACAAUCAGAUGUUUGCUUUCUAUGCAGUCAAGAAAGGUUGGUCUAUCUCUCAAUUUGAUGUGAGCAAUGCUUUCUUACAUGGGGAAUUACAAGAAGAAGUUAAUAUGAGAUUUCCUGCUGGUUUACCUUUCCCAAUCCCCAAUCAUGUUUGUCAACUUAAGAGGUCUCUUUAUGGUUUAAAACAAGCCUCCAGGCAGUGAUAUGCCAGGCUUGCAGGGGCACUCAGUUUCGAGGGUUUUUCUGCUUCACUAAAACUAUUCUCUAUUUUUCAAAAGAACAUGAUCUCUUAUCUCCAUUGUUGCAGUCUAUGUUGAUGACAUACUAUUUACAGGGGAUAAUCUCGCGAAAUUAUCAUAUCUCAAAUUAUUUCUACAUUCUGAAUUUAAAAUGAUGGAUCUUGGACCACUUCAUUUAUUUUUAGGAAUGGAAAUUUUGCAAGAAGACAAGGAAAUUAUUAUUACUCAAAGGAAAUUUACCUCUGAUUUACUUCACGAGUUCGAUUGCUCAGAUCUUCCUUUUGCUUCUUCACCCUUGGAUCCCUCUUCCAAAUUGGUUGCUAAUUCUGGUCCUCCAUUAGCUGAUGCUUCUCUUUAUCGGCGUUUAUGGGUAAACCAACUAUUUGACCCACACUCGACCAGAUCUUUCCUUUGAUGUACUCACCCUCAGUCAGUUCAUGCAAAGACCUUGUCUUGAUCAUUUCACUGCAGGCCUGCGUGUUCUUCGUUACAUCUCCUCCACCUCUGGCCAGGGUCUGUUUCUUAAUGCUCAUCCCUCUUUGGAUCUCUUGGCUUUCUGUGACGCCGACUGGGUAUCUUGUAGGGAUACUCGACGCUUUGUUAGUGGCUUCUUUAUCAGUUGAGGCGAUUCUUCUAUGUCUUGGAAAUCCAAGAAACAAGCCUCUACUUCUCUUUCUUAUGCAGAAGAUGAGUAUCGCUCCAUGCGUCGUUUGGUUGCAGAGCUGACAUGGUUGACUCGUUUGCUCACAUAUCUAUCAGUUCCUCCUCCGAUACCUGCUCCUAUCUUCUCCGAUAGUCAGGAUUCCAUCCAUAUUGCCCGAAAUCCCGUGUUUAACGAGCGGACUAAGCAUGUUGAGCUCGAUUGCCACUUUGUCCGGCAACAAUUUCUCUCCGGCCUCAUUUCUCUGACGUUUGCUCCCUCAAAAUUGCAGCUUGCUGAUUUAUAUACCAAACCCUUAUCAGGGCCUGCUCACACGUUCAUCCUUGGCAAGUUGGGUGUGUCUUCUACACCCUCCAACUUGAAGGGGGUGUUGGAAUAAAUAAGUCCAUGAUUUGUGCUGGAAAGGAAAUAAAUUUGCAGAAGUUGGAUGAAGAAGAAGAAAUGAAACUCAAGCUUGAAGAUGACGGACAAAACUAGGCAAAGUCACAAUUAAGUCUUUGACUCUACUAUGAGUCAAUUAGCCACAUGGCUUCAUCACAACUGUUCAAAGAAAUAUUGAUGGAUUAAAUCUGGUUCGUCCAUUUUGCACUCAUACUCUGAAAGCUUCACAUACACGAAUUGGACCACUUGAAGAAGGAAUAAUAUUGUGUGUUAGUUUGUUAUACAUACACAAAUAGUAUUAGGACAAGUGUAUAUUUUUCAUAGGCU
rnacentral:lncRNA from 1 species